UCUCCCAAUCCCAUCUGAUUCACCUCGCAUCUGAUCGGAUGCCCAAAAACUCGACUUGUUUGUAUUGCUUAGUUUCAUUGAUGAGAAAUUUCUAUUGCAAACUAACUUUCUCUUACAAGCCAAAAAUUUGGAAUAUCUUGAGGAAGAAACUAAGCAACUGGUUUCUUUCAGAUUUGAAGAUAUCGGGAAAGUUGCCGCUGGAUUAUCUUGUUAGGGCAUCAUGCCUCCUCGUGCCUAUCCAUCGGCUUUCAAGUAGAUGAUAAGCUCAAGAUAAAUCUCAUCCCAAAAGCUACUAGAGGUAAUCAUUGUUGUUCUAUAUCAACC